rnacentral:lncRNA from 1 species
UCCCCAUCUUUAUAUAUAUAUAGAGUCCGGCUACUAUGCUAUCGAUAACACCAAGUAUUUAGUGCUAUUAAGUUUUCUGCCGUUAGAUUAACCCCUUUGAUUAUUUUCCCACAUUAGAUUAUACUAUUCAACCAACCACCCACUCAACCCUAGGGGCCCAUAUUAUCCUAACCGCACAUUUCUCAAUCCAAUGGCUAAAAAACUAAUAGCACAAAUAGCUUGGUACUAUUGAUAGUAUUCCAGCCUAGUUCUAUAUAUAUAUGUGUGUGUGUGUGUGUAUGUGUAAUAGCUUGAUGCUAUUGAUAGUAUUCCAGCCUAGUUCU